AGGGGUGUAGCUCAAUUGGUAGAGCGUUGGUCUCCAAAACCAAAGGUCACGGGUUCAAUUCCUGUCGCCCCUG
rnacentral:tRNA from 1 species